rnacentral:lncRNA from 1 species
AGAGAAUCAAUUUUAUAAAGCAGGGAUAGAGUAUAUGAAAUGUCUAGGAAUCAGUAUUGAAAUUUUAGAUAGGGUGGCCAGAUAAGAUUCACUAAGAAAGGAGCUUUCAAGAAAAGACCUAAAGAAAGUGAAGGGGCUCACCAGGCGCUUAUCUGGAGGGAGAGUGUUCCAGUUGCAGGGAGCAGUGAGGUAGGGGCUUGCUCAACAUGAGCAAGGACAAGGAGGAAGCCAGUGUGGCCAGAGAAGAGAAGGUGAGGUUCAUGGGGGCCAGAUCAUGUCAUGUCAAUCAUAGGAAGGACCUAGGAAAGGCUAGUGAAUAAUUUUGAAUACAGAAGUGACACAAUCUGACUUUCUUUUAAAAGGAACACUCUGCUAUUGUGCUAAGGAUAGACUGCAGAGGCGAGGCUGAAACAUGGGGGACCAGUUAGGAGGCUGUUCCCAUAAUCCAGGACCCAGAACUCCAGCUUCAGAGUCCAGUGCUGCUAAGCCAUAGUUUCUUAGCACUUCCCCUGUAUUUUGAAUUGUUCUCAAAUACACAAGGCAAGCCUUCUUGAGACAGUUUCGAGAUUAACAACAUCUCAGGAUGAACUCUGUAUCCCCAGAGACUAUACAAAACCUGGCAUAGAGGAUGUGCUUAUGAAAUGUUAUAUGAAUGAUUGAAUUCAAGAACCAGCAGAGGAGAAGUGAUGAGCAGAGAAGUAAUGUCCAAUGUAUUCAUGUAUUGCCUGCAGUUGCUUUUUUCUUAAUUAAUUCAUUGCUUGGAAAUAAGUUAAUCUAAAUGAAUCCAUUCCUGGCCUUUAUGUAAGUUUGUGGUCUGGGUACUCACCAGCCACCACACCUGAAUACACAAUGGGAGAACAUUUUGGAGGGUGGCUGGGAGGUCAGCAUCGAUCCAGGGAGUUAUGAUGGUAGAAUAAAGCUUGCAUUUGCCAUCUUAAAGCACUGAUGGCGUCCAUUUCUCUUCCUGCUGGCACCAGGGGCCCUGGCUGUGGGAAACGAGGGAAAUGUUCCCAGAGGGCACUCCUGGAGAGCAAAGAUCUCGUCUGGUGAUGCUCCAUUUUUCAUUAUUUUGUGAUUGGCCCAAACCUCAGGACUGCUUACGAUAAGAGAGUAGAACUUUCUGUUAACUCGGAAAGAGUAUACAUCUGUGGUGAAGACUGUGCCAUCAAAAGG